rnacentral:lncRNA from 1 species
GGCGCUCUCCAAGAGCACGCUACGGCACCUCACCACAGGGCACCCUCUCCAGAGACCCUUUGCAACCAGGCUGGCUGUUGCUUCAAGGCCAGCAGAAGAAUCACUUCUUUUCAGUUCACCAUGAUAGUCAUAAAUUAUAUUAGCCAGUCAAGAAUGCCGCUUUCCAUAUUCAUCACCUGGUCAUGUUCUCAAGCCUCCAGAUGGUCUCCAAAAGGCUGGCUGUGAGCACAUACGUGUGCAUGCCCUGUCCUAUCUGGAAAAUGCUGCUUUCUUGACGUCAUCCACCACCUCUGGCUCUUACAUCAUCCAGUGCUUUGCCACACAAAGGAAACAGCUGUUGGGCAGUGUGUUGCCAUGGAGAUGCUGGCAGCUGUCUGGAUUGCACCGCAGCUAUUGCCUCUGACACUUUCCUGACAGGAGCCCACCUGCCUGUGUCCUUCUUCCAGAUUCGCCUCUGUCUGAGAGCAGCUACAAGGACAGUCUCAUCCGAGUGAAAACCAUUGUCCAUGCCUCCCUGGAGAGCAAGGACCAGGCCUCACUCAGGGUUGUGAGCUCCACAGCAGAGUGCUGUCCAUAGCACAUGUUUAAUCAAUGUUUUGGCCGGGGGGGUGGGGGUGGGGGGUGGCGAUGCAAGGACUAAAUAGAUGGCUCAGCUGUUAAAAGAACUUGCUCUUCUUCCGGAGGACCCCGUUCAACUCCUGUUGCUCACAUGGUGGCUCACGAGCAUGUGACUCCAUUGCCAGGGAACCCGAUACUUUCUUCUGGCUUCCGGGGACACUGGACAUAGAUGGAGUAUACAGACACACAUGCUGGCAAAAUACCCAUACUAAUAAAAUAAAAUGAAAACUAAACUAGGACGGCCCACAUGAGAGCUCGAGAGAUGGCUAUGUUAAGUGGCUUACCAUACAAGUGUGAAGACCUAAGUUUGAAUGCCCAGAAUCCUCGUCAAGACAGGCGCAGUAACAUAUAUCACUAUAUUUGUUUUGGGAGAUCUGGGAUGGGUGGCAGGAGAACCCCAAAAGCUCAAAGACCAGUUCGGCUGGUUGAUGCAAUGAUGAACAACAAUGAUACCCUAUAGCAAAGCAAGAUGGGAGACGAGAAGAGAUACCCAAGCUUGUUUUUUGACCCACAUAAUAUGCCAUGGUAUUUGCAUGCCUGCACUCAUAC